CCUACGGGGGGCAGCAGUGAGGGAUAUUGGUCAAUGGGGGAAACCCUGAACCAGCAACGCCGCGUGAGGGAAGACGGUUUUCGGAUUGUAAACCUCUGUCCUCUGUGAAGAUAAUGACGGUAGCAGAGGAGGAAGCUCCGGCUAACUACGUGCCAGCAGCCGCGGUAAUACGUAGGGAGCAAGCGUUGUCCGGAUUUACUGGGUGUAAAGGGUGCGUAGGCGGCCUUGCAAGUCAGAAGUGAAACCCAUGGGCUUAACCCGUGACCUGAUUUUGAAACUGUAGGGCUUGAGUGAAGUAGAGGCAG
rnacentral:rRNA from 1 species